GCAAACUUGGUCAUUUAGAGGAAGUAAAAGUCGUAACAAGGUCUCCGUUGGUGAACCAGCGGAGGGAUCAUUACAGAGUUGCAAAACUCCCAAACCAUUGUGAACCUACCCUUACCGUUGCUUCGGCGGGCGGGCCCCGCGCCCCCCGGCCCCCACGGGCGCCCGCCGGAGGCGAUACCAAACCAUUGAACACGCAUGGCCUCUCUGAGUCUUCUGUACUGAAUAAGUCAAAACUUUCAACAACGGAUCUCUUGGUUCUGGCAUCGAUGAAGAACGCAGC
rnacentral:misc_RNA from 1 species